GCAAGUCGAACGUGAAAGUCUUCGGGGCGAGUAAAGUGGCGCACGGGUGAGUAACGCGUGGAUAAUCUACCUUAAGAUGGGGAUNACGGCUGGAAACGGUCGCUAAUANCNAAUACGCUCCCGAUUNNUCGUNGGGGGGAAAGAUGGCCUCUGCUUGCAAGCUAUCGCUUAAGGAUGANUCCGCGUCCCNNNGCUAGNGGGCGGGGUAACGGCCCACCANGGCGACGAUGGGUAGCCGGUCUGAGAGGAUGACCGGCCACACUGGAACUGGAACACGGUCCAGACUCCUACGGGAGGCAGCAGUGGGGAAUAUUGCGCAAUGGGCGAAAGCCUGACGCAGCGACGCCGCGUGAGGGAUGAAGGUUCUCGGAUCGUAAACCUCUGUCAGGGGGGAAGAAACCCCCUCGUGUGAAUAAUGCGAGGGCUUGACGGUACCCCCAAAGGAAGCACCGGCUAACUCCGUGCCAGCAGCCGCGGUAAUACGGAGGGUGCAAGCGUUAAUCGGAAUCACUGGGCGUAAAGCGCACGUAGGCGGCUUGGUAAGUCAGGGGUGAAAUCCCACAGCCCAACUGUGGAACUGCCUUUGAUACUGCCAGGCUUGAGUACCGGAGAGGGUGGCGGAAUUCCAGGUGUAGGAGUGAAAUCCGUAGAUAUCUGGAGGAACACCGGUGGCGAAGGCGGCCACCUGGACGGUAACUGACGCUGAGGUGCGAAAGCGUGGGUAGCAAACAGGAUUAGAUACCCUGGUAGUCCACGCUGUAAACGAUGGGUGCUGGGUGCUGGGAUGUAUGUCUCGGUGCCGUAGCUAACGCGAUAAGCACCCCGCCUGGGGAGUACGGUCGCAAGGCUGAAACUCAAAGAAAUUGACGGGGGCCCGCACAAGCGGUGGAGUAUGUGGUUUAAUUCGAUGCAACGCGAAGAACCUUACCCAGGCUUGACAUCUAGGGAACCCUUCGGAAAUGAAGGGGUGCCCUUCGGGGAGCCCUAAGACAGGUGCUGCAUAA
rnacentral:rRNA from 1 species